rnacentral:rRNA from 1 species
AUUGAACGCUGGCGGCAUGCCUUACACAUGCAAGUCGAACGGCAGCACGGGUGCUUGCACCUGGUGGCGAGUGGCGAACGGGUGAGUAAUACAUCGGAACGUACCUUAUCGUGGGGGAUAACGCAGCGAAAGCUGUGCUAAUACCGCAUACGCCCUGAGGGGGAAAGCGGGGGAUCGCAAGACCUCGCGCGAUUAGAGCGGCCGAUGCCUGAUUAGCUUGUUGGUGGGGUAAAAGCCCACCAAGGCGACGAUCAGUAGCUGGUCGUAGAGGACGAUCAGCCACAGUGGGACGGGGAAACGGCCCAGACUCCUACGGGAGGCAGCAGUGGGGAAUUUUGGACAAUGGGGGCAACCCUGAUCCAGCAAUGCCGCGUGAGUGAAGAAGGCCUUCGGGUUGUAAAGCUCUUUUGUCAGGGAAGAAACACCGGCUCUAACACAGUCUGGGAAUGACGGUACCUGAAGAAUAAGCACCGGCUAACUACGUGCCAGCAGCCGCCGUAA